GUAGGUGGCAAGCGUUGUCCGGAAUUAUUGGGCGUAAAGCGCGCGCAGGCGGGUCCUUUAAGUCUGAUGUGAAAGCCCACGGGCUCAACCGUGGAGGGUCAUUGGAAACUGGGGGGACUUGAGAACAGAAGAGGAAAGCGGAAUUCCAAGUGUAGCGGUGAAAUGCGUAGAGAUUUGGAGGAACACCAGUGGCGAAGGCGGCUUUCUGGUCUGUAACUGACGCUGAGGCGCGAAAGCGUGGGGAGCAAACAGGAUUAGAUACCCUGGUAGUCCACGCCGUAAACGAUGAGUGCUAAGUGUUAGGGGGUUUCCGCCCCUUAGUGCUGCAGCUAACGCAUUAAGCACUCCGCCUGGGGAGUACGGCCGCAAAGGCUG
rnacentral:rRNA from 1 species